rnacentral:rRNA from 1 species
UGGGGAAUCUUGCACAAUGGGCGAAAGCCUGAUGCAGCGACGCCGCGUGCGGGACGAAGGCCUUCGGGUUGUAAACCGCUUUCAGCAGGGACGAGGCGAUAAGUGACGGUACCUGCAGAAGAAGCCCCGGCUAACUACGUGCCAGCAGCCGCGGUAAUACGUAGGGGGCAAGCGUUAUCCGGAUUCAUUGGGCGUAAAGCGCUCGUAGGCGGUCUGUUAGGUCGGGAGUUAAAUCCGGAGGCUCAACCUCCGCCCGCUCCCGAUACCGGCAGACUUGAGUUUGGUAGGGGAAGGUGGAAUUCCUAGUGUAGCGGUGGAAUGCGCAGAUAUUAGGAAGAACACCAGUGGCGAAGGCGGCCUUCUGGGCCACAACUGACGCUGAGGAGCGAAAGCUAGGGGAGCAAACAGGAUUAGAUACCCUGGUAGUCCUAGCUGUAAACGAUGGACACUAGGUGUGGGAGAAUACGUCUUCCGUGCCGCAGCUAACGCAUUAAGUGUCCCGCCUGGGGAGUACGGCCGCAAGGCUA